rnacentral:rRNA from 1 species
AACGAACGCUGGCGGCAGGCUUAACACAUGCAAGUCGAACGGGCAUAGCAAUAUGUCAGUGGCAGACGGGUGAGUAACACGUGGGAACCUUCCUAGAGGUACGGAACAACGCAGGGAAACUUGUGCUAAUACCGUAUACGCUCGAGAGAGGAAAGAUUUAUCGCCUUUAGACGGGCCCGCGUAGGAUUAGGUAGUUGGUGAGGUAACGGCUCACCAAGCCUACGAUCCUUAGCUGAUCUGAGAGGAUGAUCAGCCACACUGGGACUGAGACACGGCCCAGACUCCUACGGGAGGCAGGAGGGGGGAAUCUUGGACAAUGGGCGCACGCCUGAUCCGGCCAUGCCGCGUGAGUGAAGAAGGCCUUCGGGUUGUAAAGCUCUUUUACCAGGGACGAUAAUGACGGUACCUGGAGAAUAAGCCCCGGCUAACUUCGUGCCAGCCGCCGCCGUAA